ACGUAGGGUGCAAGCGUUAAUCGGAAUUACUGGGCGUAAAGCGUGCGCAGGCGGUUUUGUAAGACAGAGGUGAAAUCCCCGGGCUCAACCUGGGAACUGCCUAUGUGACUGCAAGGCUAGAGUACGGCAGAGGGGGGUGGAAUUCCGCGUGUAGCAGUGAAGUGCGUAGAUAUGCGGAGGAACACCGAUGGCGAAGGCAACCCCCUGGGCCUGUACUGACGCUCAUGCACGAAAGCGUGGGGAGCAAACAGUA
rnacentral:rRNA from 1 species